rnacentral:ncRNA from 1 species
CCGCACGCUCCGGGGUGCACUGACGUGCUGAGAUCCACACCCGAGAACUUGAACCGGGUCAUGCCGGCGGAAGAAGAGCUUCAACCCCCCAC